UCAGAUUGAACGCUGGCGGCAUGCCUAACACAUGCAAGUCGAACGGCAGCACAGCACGGGGCAACCCGUGUGGGUGGCGAGUGGCGGACGGGUGAGUAAUGCAUGGGAAUCUACCCAGUAGCGGGGGACAACCCGGAGAAAUCCGGGCUAAUACCGCAUACGCCCUAAGGGGGAAAGCGGGGGACCGAAAGGCCUCGCACUAUUGGAUGAGCCCAUGUCGGAUUAGCUAGUUGGUAGGGUAACGGCCUACCAAGGCGACAAUCCGUAGCUAGUCUGAGAGGACGAUCAGCCACACCGGAACUGAGACACGGUCCGGACUCCUACGGGAGGCAGCAGUGGGGAAUAUUGGACAAUGGGGGCAACCCUGAUCCGCAAUGCCGCGUGUGUGAAGAAGGCCUGCGGGUUGUAAAGCACUUUCAGUGGGGACAAAAAGCGCCGUGUUAAUACCGCGGCUUUUGAUUUAACCCAUAGAAGAAGCACCGGCU
rnacentral:rRNA from 1 species